UAACGAAUAUUCCGCAAUGCGCGAAAGCGUGACGGAGCAAUGCCGCGUGUGGGAUGAAGCCCCUAUGGGGUGUAAACCACUGUCAGGGUCUAGGAACUUUGACCAAACCCAGAGGAAGGACCGGCUAACUCUGUGCCAGCAGCCGCGGUAAUACAGAGGGUCCAAGCGUUGAUCGGAAUCACUGGGCUUAAAGGGUGCGCAGGCGGACGGGCAAGUGCGUUGUGAAAUCCCAUGGCUUAACCAUGGAACUGCUUCGCAGACUGCUCGUCUUGAACACGACAGGGGCUGCCAGAACGUUAGGUGGAGCGGUGAAAUGCGUAGAUAUCUAACGGAAUGCCGAUGGAGAAGUCAGGCAGCUGGGUCGUCGUUGACGCUCAGGCACGAAAGCGUGGGUAGCGAACGGGAUUAGAUACCCCCGUAGUCC
rnacentral:rRNA from 1 species